rnacentral:rRNA from 1 species
CGGGUGAGUAACACGUAUCCAACCUGCCGUCUACUCUUGGACAGCCUUCUGAAAGGAAGAUUAAUACAAGAUGGCAUCAUGAGUUCACAUGUUCACAUGAUUAAAGGUAUUCCGGUAGACGAUGGGGAUGCGUUCCAUUAGAUAGUAGGCGGGGUAACGGCCCACCAAGGCGACGAUCGGUAGCCGGACUGAGAGGUUGAACGGCCACAUUGGGACUGAGACACGGCCCAG